rnacentral:rRNA from 1 species
AACAAAAUCACCUACCCUGAACGCACCAAUCCCAUCUGAUCUCAGAAGCUAAUCAGGGCCCGGCCUGGUUAGUACUUGGAUGGGAGACCACCUAGGAAGACCAGGUGUUGUAGGUG